GCUUAUGACCACACCGGCCUGAGUACACCUGAUCUCGUUUGAUCUCGGAAGCCAAGCAGGGUCGGAACUGGUUAGUCCUUGGAUGGUAGACCCCCUGGGAAUACCAGGUGCUGUAAGCU
rnacentral:rRNA from 1 species